rnacentral:rRNA from 1 species
UACGUAGGGUGCAAGCGUUAAUCGGAAUUACUGGGCGUAAAGCGUGCGCAGGCGGUCUUGUAAGACAGAGGUGAAAUCCCCGGGCUCAACCUGGGAACUGCCUUUGUGACUGCAAGGCUGGAGUGCGGCAGAGGGGGAUGGAAUUCCGCGUGUAGCAGUGAAAUGCGUAGAUAUGCGGAGGAACACCGAUGGCGAAGGCAAUCCCCUGGACCUGUACUGACGCUCAUGCACGAAAGCGUGGGGAGCAAACAGG